GACGAACGCUGGCGGCGUGCCUAAUACAUGCAAGUAGAACGCACAGUUUAUACCGUAGCUUGCUACACCAUAGACUGUGAGUUGCGAACGGGUGAGUAACGCGUAGGUAACCUGCCUGGUAGCGGGGGAUAACUAUUGGAAACGAUAGCUAAUACCGCAUAAUAUUAAUUAUUGCAUGAUAAUUAAUUGAAAGGUGCAAUUGCACCACUACCAGAUGGACCUGCGUUGUAUUAGCUAGUAGGUGAGGUAACGGCUCACCUAGGCGACGAUACAUAGCCGACCUGAGAGGGUGAUCGGCCACACUGGGACUGAGACACGGCCCAGACUCCUACGGGAGGCAGCAGUAGGGAAUCUUCGGCAAUGGACGAAAGUCUGACCGAGCAACGCCGCGUGAGUGAAGAAGGUUUUCGGAUCGUAAAGCUCUGUUGUAAGAGAAGAACGGG
rnacentral:rRNA from 1 species